rnacentral:rRNA from 1 species
GACGAACGCUGGCGGCGUGCUUAACACAUGCAAGUCGAACGGAAAGGCCCCUUCGGGGGUACUCGAGUGGCGAACAGGUGAGUAACACGUGAGUAACCUGCCCUUGACUUCGGGAUAACUUCAGGAAACUGGGGCUAAUACCGGAUAGGAAUCCUUGCUGCAUGGUGGGGGUUGGAAAGCUUCCGCGGGUUUGGAGGGACUCGCGGCUUAUCAGCUUGUUGGUGGGGUAGUGGCUUACCAAGGCUUUGACGGGUAGCCGGCCUGAGGGGGCGACCGGCCACAUUGGGACUUGGAUACGGCCCAGGACCCUACGGGGGGCCACAGGGGGGAAUAUUGCAAAAUGGGCGGGAGGCUGAUGCAGGAACGCCGCGGGCGGGAAGACGGGCUUCGGGUUGUAAACCGGUUUCAGCAGGGGCGAAGCUUGUAGUGACGGUACCUGCAGAAGAAGCACCGGCUAACUACGUG